rnacentral:rRNA from 1 species
GAUUGAACGCUGGCGGCAUGCUUUACACAUGCAAGUCGAACGGCAGCGCGGGCUUCGGCCUGGCGGCGAGUGGCGAACGGGUGAGUAAUGCAUCGGAACGUGCCCAGUAGUGGGGGAUAGCCCGGCGAAAGCCGGAUUAAUACCGCAUACGACCUGAGGGUGAACGCGGGGGACCGAAAGGCCUCGCGCUAUUGGAGCGGCCGAUGUCGGAUUAGCUAGUUGGUGGGGUAAAGGCUUACCAAGGCGACGAUCCGUAGCUGGUCUGAGAGGACGACCAGCCACACUGGGACUGAGACACGGCCCAGACUCCUACGGGAGGCAGCAGUGGGGAAUUUUGGACAAUGGGGGCAACCCUGAUCCAGCCAUGCCGCGUGCGGGAAGAAGGCCUUCGGGUUGUAAACCGCUUUUGUUCGGGAAGAAAUCCUCUGGGCUAAUACCCCGGGGGGAUGACGGUACCGGAAGAAUAAGCACCGGCUAACUACGUG